rnacentral:rRNA from 1 species
ACUCAAAUGAAUUGACGGGGACCCGCACAAGCGGUGGAGCGUGUUGUUUAAUUCGACGGUAAACGAAGAACCUUACCAGGGUUUGACAUCCUAGGAAUUUCUCCGAAAGGAGAGAGUGCCUUCGGGAAUCUAGUGACAGGUGUUGCAUGGCCGUCGUCAGCUCGUGUCGUGAGAUGUUUGGUUAAGUCCAUCAACGAGCGCAACCCUUAUAGUCAGUUGUAUUUCUCUGGCUAGACUGCCCCGGUAACGGGGAGGAAGGAGGGGAUGAUGUCAGGUCAGUAUUACCCUUACACCCUGGGCCACAAACACGCUACAAUGGCCGGUACAAAGGGCAGCCAACCCGCGAGGGGGAGCAAAUCCCAUCAAAGCCGGUCUCAGUUCGGAUUGCAGGCUGAAAUUCGCCUGCAUGAAGCCGGAAUCGCUAGUAACGGUAGGUCAGCUAUACUACCGUGAAUACGUUCCCGGGUCUUGUACACACCGCCCGU